UCUCCAUUCCUGGCUGGUGCUUGCAGCUUCUCUGCUGCCAGGGUUAUCUGGCUCUCAGGAGAAAUGGGUCUGAGCAGCAAAGGAUGCAAGUGUUGGAACCCCCAGGAGUUCCCUCUGAACAGCACCAGCAAGAAAGAGAAGCAUUUUAUAAGUACUCACCAGUAUGACACAUUAAAACAAGCAAGCCACUACAAUGAAGAUUUAUGUGCCAUGCAUGGAAUCAAGCACAUCACUGUCCUAGGAGCCCUACUCCAAAAACACAGUGUUGAGAGUUGUUGCCUUGUCUCAAGACCAAGUCAAACAGGCACAGCCACCCAGAACUAGUUAGUCUGUGUGAAGGAAGGAAGAACCAGCAAUCUCCUUUUCCCAGGCUCUUCCCAGGAAGAGUCUUGCAAAGUUAUGCCUCAUGUGAAUUAAAGUCUGCUAGAAACAUGAAGGAAAGGUCAGAGGGACCUGCAGCUGGAGGCAUGUGGGUCACAGAUCUGGCCCAGGGCACGUGCUGACAGUCAGACUCCUAAAAAGAUGUGAAGUUUGAAAUUCACUUUUUGGUCAGAAAGCUCUGCCCAGGAGUGGAUCUUUUUGGUCCUGAAUUUAUUUAAAGGAAUCUGCUACCACUGGUAGGUAGGAACACUUUGGAGAGAGGUCUUACAUGUGUGAGUCAUUCGAGGAGGAAAACCAGAACAGCAAAACCAGUGGGAAGAGCUGAAGAAGCCUGAGUGAGGAGCAAAGCAAGACAGAUCUACUCAAAGAGAUAACCUGACAUGUAUGGAAUUGCAAUGGAAAGGAUUUAAUGUAGGAAUUUUAGAAUUAUUCAGCUGAUUUGAUCCAUUCCUAGAAGAGCAUAAAAAGGUGACAGAAAUGUUGCUACAAGGAUUACUUCAUACUUUUUGAAAACAUAGGGUGUAAAUCUCUUCUCCUGAACCAGCAAUUUGUCAGCAAGUACUUCUGAGCGUGGAAAGUGAAAUAUUCAUUUAGAGUUGUCAACUGCACAGAAAUCUUCCGUGUUGAGCAGUUUUUCAUGCAGCAAUUUUUAAAGGAUUAAAUCCUAAAGAGUAGUUUCUGUAAAUUUAUCCCCAUUCACUG